rnacentral:rRNA from 1 species
ACUCAAAUGAAUUGACGGGGGCCCGCACAAGCGGUGGAUCAUGUGGUUUAAUUCGAAGCAACGCGCAGAACCUUACCUGGGUUUGACAUCCCAUUGAAUACAACUAGAGAUAGAUGUAGGCUCGCAAGAGACAGUGGAGACAGGUGCUGCAUGGCUGUCGUCAGCUCGUGUUGUGAAAUGUUGGGUUAAGUCCCGCAACGAGCGCAACCCCUGUGUUUGGUUGCUAACAUCUAAGGUGAGCACUCCAGACAGACUGCCGUCGUUAAGACGGAGGAAGGUGGGGAUGACGUCAAGUCCUCAUGGCCUUUAUAUCCAGGGCGACACACGUGAUACAAUGGUAGGUACAAAGGGAAGCCAAGUGGAAACACGGAGCCAAUCUCAAAAAACCUAUCUCAGUUCGGAUUGGAGUCUGCAACUCGACUCCAUGAAGUUGGAAUCGCUAGUAAUCGCGGAUCAGCACGCCGCGGUGAAUACGUUCCCGGGCCUUGUACACACCGCCCGU